GACGAACGCUGGCGGCGUGCUUAUCACAUGCAAGUCGAACGGGCCCGCCCCUGUUUUUGGGGGUGGGUUGAGUGGCGAACGGGUGAGUAUCACGUGAGUAACCUGCCCCCUGCUCCUGGAUAACUGCUUGAAAGGGCGGCUAAUACGGGGUGUGCCGGCUGGUCCGCAUGGGCCUGGUCGGGAUAGUUUCAUCUUCGGGUGUUUCGGUGGGGGAUGGGCUCGCGGCCUAUCAGCUUGUUGGUGGGGUGAUGGCCCACCAAGGCGGUGACGGGUAGCCGGCCUGAGAGGGUGGGCGGCCACACUGGGACUGAGACACGGCCCAGACUCCUGCGGGAGGCAGCAGUGGGGGGUAUUGCACAAUGGGCGGAAGCCUGAUGCAGCGACGUCGCGUGAGGGAUGGAGGCCUUCGGGUUGUGAACCUCUUUCUCCGGUGGUGAAGGCCCUGUCCGUUGCGGCGGGGUUGACGGUAGCCGGGUAUGAAGCGCCGGCUAACUACGUG
rnacentral:rRNA from 1 species